rnacentral:rRNA from 1 species
CCCUGCAGCUCACAACUGGCAACCCACUGAAGCUAAGCAGAUGUGAGCCUGGUCAGUACCUGGAUAGGAGACCUCCUGGGAAAAACUAAGGUUGCUGCUGGAA